rnacentral:rRNA from 1 species
UACGGAGGGAGCUAGCGUUGUUCGGAAUUACUGGGCGUAAAGCGCACGUAGGCGGCUUUGUAAGUUAGAGGUGAAAGCCCGGAGCUCAACUCCGGAAUUGCCUUUAAGACUGCAUCGCUUGAAUCCGGGAGAGGUGGAGUGGAAUUCCGAGUGUAGAGGUGAAAUUCGUAGAUAUUCGGAAGAACACCAGUGGGCGAAGG